ACCCCAUUAAUUAAGCCGACGGGAUGAGUAUUAAUCAAACUCUUCAAGUGGUAUAAGAUGGGAACAGCAGACUUGUUCUGAUGUGUGUAUGUUGUGAAACUAUAUCUUCGUUUACCAGCAAAGAAUUUUUCAGUGUACA
rnacentral:snoRNA from 1 species